CUGGCGGCAGGCUUACACAUGCUUCUUCGAACGGCCUCUUUCCGGUGUGUGUCGCACACGGGUGAGUAACGCGUGAGACCGUGCCCUUCUAUGCGGAAUAUCCCCGGGAAAGUGGUGGUAAUACCGUAUACGCCCUCGGGUGUGAAAGUUUUAUCGCUUUAAGGGUGGGCCCUGCGUUGGAUUAGCUUGGUGGGGGGGUAAUGGCCUACCGGGGCACACAAAUCUAUAGCUGUCUCUGAGAGGAAGAUCAGCCACACUGGGACUGAGACACUGGCCCAGACUCCUACGGGAGGCAGCAGUGGGAAAUUUUGCACAAUGGGCGAAAGCCUGAUCCACCACCGUGCCGCGUGAGUGAAGAAGGCCCUAGGUUUGUAAAGCCCUUUCCUCAAGGGUGAACAUUGUGACGGUAACCAGAGAAGACAGCCCCGGGUAUUUUCGUGCCCGCCGCCGCGGUAAUACGGAGGGCGCUAGCGUUAUUCGGAAUUACUGGGCGUAAAGCGCGCGUAGGCGGCUUUGUAAGU
rnacentral:rRNA from 1 species